CUAAAGCCUUGUGACCCCUUAGGAGGCUGGUGAUUUCCUCACAAGGAGGACCUAAGAGCACCAAGAAGCAUAGUGAGCUCCUUAGAGGGAACGUUUCACUGACGGUGUGAUCUGAUGGGUUGAGCAUGAACAUUCUGCAGCACAGACCGGGUUCCUCCAGGCCUUGGAGGGGCUGAUCUUCCAGCUCCUGGGAGCCUGUCAGUGUCUCAGGGCUUCUGGGAGCAGGCCCUGCACAGAGCAUGAGCCUGUCGAUGGAGGCCCCUGGUACAUAGUUGUAUAUUCUUCGUUGUGGCUUCUUCUAGUUGUGGCAUGUGGGACGCUGCCUCAGCGUGGUUUGAUGAGCAGUGCCAUGUCCGCGCCCAGGAUUCGAACCACCGAAACACUGGGCCACCUGCAGCGGAGAGCGCGAACUUAACCACUCGGCCACAGGGCCAGCCCCCUUUAUAAACCAUUUUUAAGAAGAAAAAAAAUGCUUCAAGAGACUCAUUGAAAAAACCAGGCAGCCUUUUACAGAGGAGAAAGGCUUUUAAAGUACCAAAAUAUGUUCAUCCUUGA
rnacentral:lncRNA from 1 species